ACACUUUGUCUGUUUUCCUCAGGUCUCUGUUUCAGACGGACCUGCUCAAGAGGUCAACACCAACACCAGCUGAGGCAAUUACUGUAAAAAGGAGAACAUCAGAGCUGCCGAACUGAGGAAGAAGAGUCAGAUGGAGGACCAGGAUGAAGCUGGAGAAGAUCCACAAAGCUGAGCUGAAGGAAAAGAAAAGGAGGGAAGCUCAGGAGAAAAAAGAGGAGAGGGGCCAGACCAGACAGUCCAUAUUUUGUUUCUGUUUCAGGAAAUCUUCCUGAUCAAAGGACAUAGCAUUGAUGAUGAAUAAACAAUCAACUAAUAAUUCGUCAGUGAGUCCAGCUGUUUGUUGUGCUUGUUUGUUCCAUCCAGAUAUAGAUAGGCCUAGACCUGUCUCCAAAGCAAUAGCCAUAAUAAGACCACAGUGGAGGCGAGCAAAAGAGGAGAGGGACAAGACCACACAGCCCAAAUGUUGUUUCUGCUUCAGGAAUUCUAACCAAUAUAUACUUUUAUAUUAUACAGAGAGCACGCAUUGAGAGCCACUCUCGAGAACCUUGUGCAGUUCCUUGCCAAGAAGGAGCAAUCGGCCGAGGCAUGGCAUGGAGAGAGCAAGGACUGAGGCAGCGGUACAGGCCGACCUCCGCAAAAUAGAGGAGAACAUUCGUUUGGACCACCACGUCAUACUCAAACGUAGAGCGACAAUGCUGACAGCGAUGGAGAGACAGAAACUCUUAGCCCUACCUCUGGCUAAAAAGAACACCAGAGGAUAGUCUCUCUCCUGGAGCAGGAAUUUGAUUAUGACUAUGACAACAUUCUGCUGAAUGAUCCAGAGCGCGCUAAGAGGGAGUUUGAGAACUGGAUCAGAUGGACCCAAGAGAGCGUAGACAGCACCCUGUCAAUGGCGCUGACUGCUGCCACCAUCAAGCAGCAGUGGCUACAAAAAGGACUGAGGCAGCGGUGCAGGCCGACCUCCGCAAAAUAGAGGAGAACAUUCGUUUGGACCACCACGUCAUACUCAACACGUAGAGCGACAGCGCUGACAGCGAUGGAGAGACAGAAACUCUUAGCCCUACCUCUGGCUAAAAAGAGCACCAGAGAAUAGUCUCUCUCCUGGAGCAGGAGUUUGAUUAUGACUAUGACAACAUUCUGCUGAAUGAUCCAGAGCGCGCUAAGAGGGAGUCUGAGAACUGGAUCAGAUGGACCCAAGAGAGCGUCUCUGUUUCAGACGGACCUGCUCAAGAGGUCAACACCAACACCAGCUGAGGCAAUUACUGUAAAAAGGAGAACAUCAGAGCUGCCGAACUGAGGAAGAAGAGUCAGAUGGAGGACCAGGAUGAAGCUGGAGAAGAUCCACAAAGCUGAGCUGAAGGAAAAGAAAAGGAGGGAAGCUCAGGAGAAAAAAGAGGAGAGGGGCCAGACCAGACAGUCCAUAUUUUGUUUCUGUUUCAGGAAAUCUUCCUGAUCAAAGGACAUAGCAUUGAUGAUGAAUAAACAAUCAACUAAUAAUUCGUCAAGAGCACGCAUUGAGAGCCACUCUCGAGAACCUUGUGCAGUUCCUUGCCAAGAAGGAGCAAUCGGCCGAGGCAUGGCAUGGAGAGAGCAAGGACUGAGGCAGCGGUACAGGCCGACCUCCGCAAAAUAGAGGAGAACAUUCGUUUGGACCACCACGUCAUACUCAAACGUAGAGCGACAAUGCUGACAGCGAUGGAGAGACAGAAACU